rnacentral:rRNA from 1 species
GACGAACGCUGGCGGCGUGCUUAACACAUGCAAGUCGAGCGGUAAGGCCCUUCGGGGUACACGAGCGGCGAACGGGUGAGUAACACGUGGGUGAUCUGCCUCGCACUCUGGGAUAAGCCUGGGAAACUGGGUCUAAUACCGGAUAUGACCACUGAUCGCAUGGUUGGUGGUGGAAAGAUUUAUCGGUGCGAGAUGGGCCCGCGGCCUAUCAGCUUGUUGGUGGGGUAAUGGCCUACCAAGGCGACGACGGGUAGCCGGCCUGAGAGGGCGACCGGCCACACUGGGACUGAGACACGGCCCAGACUCCUACGGGAGGCAGCAGUGGGGAAUAUUGCACAAUGGGCGAAAGCCUGAUGCAGCGACGCCGCGUGAGGGAUGACGGCCUUCGGGUUGUAAACCUCUUUCGACAGGGACGAAGCGAAAGUGACGGUACCUGUAGAAGAAGCACCGGCCAACUACGUGCCAGCAGCCGCGGUAAUACGUAGGGUGCGAGCGUUGUCCGGAAUUACUGGGCGUAAAGAGCUUGUAGGCGGUUCGUCGCGUCGAUCGUGAAAACUUGCAGCUCAACUGCGAGCUUGCGGUCGAUACGGGCGGACUAGAGUACUGCAGGGGAGACUGGAAUUCCUGGUGUAGCGGUGAAAUGCGCAGAUAUCAGGAGGAACACCGGUGGCGAAGGCGGGUCUCUGGGCAGUAACUGACGCUGAGAAGCGAAAGCGUGGGUAGCGAACAGGAUUAGAUACCCUGGUAGUCCACGCCGUAAACGGUGGGCGCUAGGUGUGGGUUUCCUUCCACGGGAUCCGUGCCGUAGCUAACGCAUUAAGCGCCCCGCCUGGGGAGUACGGCCGCAAGGCUAAAACUCAAAGGAAUUGACGGGGGCCCGCACAAGCGGCGGAGCAUGUGGAUUAAUUCGAUGCAACGCGAAGAACCUUACCUGGGUUUGACAUACACCAGAAAGCUGCAGAGAUGUAGCCCCCCUUGUGGUUGGUGUACAGGUGGUGCAUGGCUGUCGUCAGCUCGUGUCGUGAGAUGUUGGGUUAAGUCCCGCAACGAGCGCAACCCUUAUCUUAUGUUGCCAGCGCGUAAUGGCGGGGACUCGUGAGAGACUGCCGGGGUCAACUCGGAGGAAGGUGGGGACGACGUCAAGUCAUCAUGCCCCUUAUGUCCAGGGCUUCACACAUGCUACAAUGGCCGGUACAGAGGGCUGCGAUACCGCGAGGUGGAGCGAAUCCCUUAAAGCCGGUCUCAGUUCGGAUCGGGGUCUGCAACUCGACCCCGUGAAGUUGGAGUCGCUAGUAAUCGCAGAUCAGCAACGCUGCGGUGAAUACGUUCCCGGGCCUUGUACACACCGCC